AUUGAACGCUGGCGGCAUGCCUUACACAUGCAAGUCGAACGGCAGCGCGGGAGCAAUCCUGGCGGCGAGUGGCGAACGGGUGAGUAAUAUAUCGGAACGUGCCCAGUAGUGGGGGAUAGCCCGGCGAAAGCCGGAUUAAUACCGCAUACGACCUGAGGGUGAAAGCGGGGGAUCGCAAGACCUCGCGCUAUUGGAGCGGCCGAUAUCAGAUUAGCUAGUUGGUGGGGUAAAGGCCUACCAAGGCAACGAUCUGUAGUUGGUCUGAGAGGACGACCAGCCACACUGGGACUGAGACACGGCCCAGACUCCUACGGGAGGCAGCAGUAGGGAAUAUUGGACAAUGGGGGCAACCCUGAUCCAGCCAUGCCGCGUGAGUGAAGAAGGCCCUCGGGUUGUAAAGCUCUUUUGUCCGGAAAGAAAAGCAAUCGGUUAAUACCCGGUUGUUCUGACGGUACCGGAAGAAUAAGCACCGGCUAACUUCGUGCCAGCAGCCGCGGUAAAG
rnacentral:rRNA from 1 species